UUUUUUUUUGAAUUUCUUCUUCUCUGGGUUCCUUAUUUCGAAGUCGUUUGCUUUUUUAAUUUAAAUUGUACUGGCCUUGUGCUCUUGUGCCAGAAAAAAUAGAAAAGAAACAAAGAUGAAU
rnacentral:ribozyme from 1 species